UCGUAUUUAAAUGUUGAUAUUUUUCUGUAAUAUUUUAAUACAUUUCAGCAUAAAUCAUGUACCUAAGUAAUGCUAAUAAAAUAUAACUAAUGAAGCCAGGACGUAAAUUUCAAAUUGGUAUUAUGAAAACAAAAUGGGGGAAACUCAAAGGAGGCGCUUUGAAAUUGAAUGACAGAAGUCGGAUGUAGGUAUAAACUACAAGUACCAUACAAAUAGUUCUAUGGCUACUUCAGAACGUAUUUUCACGGAUUCGGAUCGGAUGCAGUGCGCAAGGGCGUUUGAGAACUCAUUCGUAUUCGUUAUCGUAAAAAUACGAUUCAAAGUGA